rnacentral:sRNA from 1 species
UGCGUCUGCUUGUUGUGCAGGAUUAGAACCUGUGGGUUCGAGCCGAGCGGCGUAGCUGCGACGCACUGUUAGCGCGUAGCGAUAACAGCCCAAGUGGAAGGAGCGUAGCGACGCAUUAUCCUGUACAACCCAUCA